AAAAGAACAUUGUGAAACGCCCUACCCUGUUCUGUUUCUUUCUGACCACCGGUGCAUGCAGCCCCUGUCAUGUACCCCCUGCUUGCUCAAAUCAAUCACGACCCUUUCAUGUGAAAUCUUCAGUGUUGUGAGCCCUUAAAAGGGACAGAAAUUGUGCACUCAGGGAGCUCAGAUUUUGAGGCAGUAGCUUGCUGAUGCUCCCAGCUGAAUAAAGCCCUUCCUUCUACGACUCGUUGUCUGAGAGGUUUUGUCUGUGGCUCGUCCUGCUACAUUUCUUGGUUCCCUGACAGGGAAACGAGGUGACUGAUGGAUGGCCGAGGCAGCCCCUUAGGCAGCUUAGGCCUGCCCCGCGGAGCAUCCCUGCAGGGGACUCCGGCCAGCCUGAGUGACGCGAUCCAAAGAGCGCUCCCGGUUAGGAAAUUGCCCCCAUUGGAACGCCUUGCCAGAGCAGCACGUAGCAGGCCCCCGUGGAGGAUCCACACAGUGGCUGAACACUGGGAAGGAACUGGCGCUUGGAGUCUGGACAUCUAAAAGACAUGAGACUUCACAACCUGCUAAAAAUGAACUUUCCAGACCUACCAAUCUAGGAAUAAACCGUCCUAGCCAGGAAAGGUCAGAUGACCUUUCCUGAGACUGGAGACUCAUUCUGUUGUAAAAAUGCUUUCUCCAAAGAUGUUAAAAAAGAAAAGGGGAAAAUGUGAAAGAAAAAUAUCUUGGGUCCCUUCAAGAUGGGAACUGCUCAGGGCAAAUCUGCCUUCUAUUCUAUUCAAGUCAUCCAUUUGCUCACAGAGACAGAUGCAUAUUCUGAUUGCCUCCUUUGGAAAGACUUAUCAGAAACUCAAAAGAAUGCAACCAUCUGUCUCUCACCUACCUGUUACUUCGAAGCCCCCAAUAGGGGGUCUUGCUUUGAGCUGUCUCCGCCUUUCCGGACGGAACUAAUGUACUUCUUACAUAGUGAUUGAUGUCUCAUGUCUCCCUAAAAUGUAUAAAACCAAGCUGUGGCCGGACCACCUUGGGCACAUGUCAUCAGGACUUCUUGAGGCUAUGUCACUGGGCAUGUCUUCAACCUUGGCAAAAUAAACUUUCUAAAUUAAUUGAGACCUGUCUCAAAUUUUGGGGGUUCACAGGUGAGUGGGCUCAGGCAUGUGCACUAGUAUGACUAAAGGUCAUAGACUAUUAGACUAUUAGUCUAUGACCUUCCUCUAGAAACACUCGACUGGUAAGGGAAGAAUGCCUCAACUGAGCAUGUGCACAACUCCCAUAAACACACUUGUGCUUGCGGAGCCUCUCAAGUGCUGGCAGGCCACUGCUCAGGUGGAUUCUUCCCUCCUACCCGGAGGGAAGAAUCAGGGGAGAAGGGACACAAGCCCCUGAAUGCAUGCCAACACGUAAAACCUCAAAUCAAAACUCAAACCAUGCAGUUUAACCUCUCAAGUUGCCCACUUGGCCCUCUUCCAAGUGUACUUUACUUCCUUUCAUUCCUGCUCUAAUACUGUUUAGUACAUUUUCACUCCUGCUCUAAAACUUGCCUCAGUCUCUCACUGUGCCUUAUGCCCCUCAGCUGAAUUCUUUCUUCUGAGCAGGCAGGAAUUGAGGUUGCUGCAGACGUGUAUGCAUUUGCCACCAGUAACAUACUUUGGUGCCACAUGACUAGGAUAUGUUCUCUAGUGCUAACAUGUUCGUUUACAGUUCUUAGGACUCCCUGAUAGAAAAAAACACAAAAAAAAACACAAAAAAACCCAACCAACCAAACAAACAAACAAAAAAAAAACACAGGAGUUUCUCCCAAAAAGAAGUCUGCAGUGUCUUUUCUGUUUUCUCUGAAGGUAUCCCAGGGUGUUAGAUUUCUGUUGUUUUUCCCUUAUGUGGCACCGAAGUUGGCAAGAAGAAGGAAGUGCUGAUAUAAAUAAAUAGGGAAAUGAACAGAGAGAGUACAUGUGGUUAGCAGGAGUUUAGGAUGAGAGAAAUUUAGUGGACCGAGAAAUAGUCUAAAUAUCAGUUUUAAUUUGUGAAAGAAAAAUAAAAACCUGGGACCCCAAUUCACUAUGCCUAAAGGAAAAAAAUUAAGCUAAAAGCUGAAUCAUGCAAGAAGCUGUUUUUUCCUUUGUUCUUAAGCAGAGCACUACAGAUAAAAAGGUGAAAUAUCUCCCCAGGUAGCUACUCUAUGUUCACCUGAACUUAUGUAAAGUUCUGAUUUACUGAGCAUGAGAAGAACACAUAAUUGACUAUUCCUGUACCUGCUCCAUUUCUCCUGCAACAUGUGGAUACAGUAAUAUGAUCAUACCCUCCCUUGUUCCCCUCUAGGCCACUUUCCCCUUUAAAUAUUAACACCAUCAUAAUCAUCUUUGGAGAAAGACACCUGGAUCUGUCCUGAACCUUGG
rnacentral:lncRNA from 1 species